AGAGUUUGAUCAUGGCUCAGGACGAACGCUGGCGGCGUGCCUAACACAUGCAAGUCGAGCGGGGAUAUAUGCUGGAGCGCUUCGGUGUGAAGGGAUAUAUCCUAGCGGCGGACGGGUGAGUAACGCGUGGGUAACCUACCCCAAAGUCCGGGAUAACAGCGGGAAACCGCUGCUAAUACCGGAUGCCUUUACCUUGGGGCAUCUUGAGGUAAAGAAAGGUAACGCUUUGGGAUGGGCCCGCGUCCCAUUAGCUAGUUGGUGAGGUAACGGCUCACCAAGGCGACGAUGGGUAGCCGGCCUGAGAGGGUGGACGGCCACACUGGGACUGAGACACGGCCCAGACUCCUACGGGAGGCAGCAGUAGGGAAUAUUGCGCAAUGGACGGAAGUCUGACGCAGCGACGCCGCGUGAGCGAUGAAGGUCUUCGGAUCGUAAAGCUCUGUCCUUGGGGAAGAAGGCGAAAGCUUGACGGUACCCAAGAAGAAAGCCCCGGCUAACUACGUGCCAGCAGCCGCGGUAAU
rnacentral:rRNA from 1 species